UACGAAGGGGGCUAGCGUUGCUCGGAAUCACUGGGCGUAAAGCGCACGUAGGCGGCUUUCUAAGUCAGGGGUGAAAUCCUGGAGCUCAACUCCAGAACUGCCUUUGAUACUGGAGAGCUUGAGUCCGGGAGGGGUGAGUGGAACUCCGAGUGUAGAGGUGAAAUUCGUAGAUAUUCGGAAGAACACCAGUGGCGAAGGCGGCUCACUGGCCCGGUACUGACGCUGAUGUGCGAAAGCGUGGGGAGCAAACAGG
rnacentral:rRNA from 1 species